UACAGAGGUCUCAACCGUUGUUCGGAUUCAUUGGGCGCAAAGGGUGCGUAGGCGGUCGUGCAAGUCGGAUGUGAAAUCUCAGGGCUCAACCCUGAAACUGCAUUCGAUACUGCGUGGCUAGAGUGCUGGAGAGGAGACUGGAAUUUACGGUGUAGCAGUGAAAUGCGUAGAUAUCGUAAGGAAGACCAGUGGCGAAGGCGAGUCUCUGGACAGCAACUGACGCUGAGGCACGAAGGCCAGGGGAGCAAACGGG
rnacentral:rRNA from 1 species